AUCUACACAACCUACUCCACAUUUUCAACGUGAACGAAAGCUCUCCGAAAAGGGGAAUAACGUUAUAACUGUCUGAAUGUACUAUACCCACAGCAACGUCUUUCUCUCGUUUCCUUUUUAAAAGAAACUGCAGCAAUAAUUCGAGUGUGUAGCGUCAAUGGUAAUUCAGAGAUUGCAUAUCGUUCAAGAUAACCUGACAUAACAACCGGUCUCAGCAUUAUCUGAAGGAUCUUUCAACACGCGAACUGGAGUGGAAUAAAGUGCUAGUGGCAGUGAGUUUGUUUUUAUCUCAUUCUGUGGAUGGAUUAAGGUGGGAGUUGUACCAAGCGGAGCUGGGCCGGGAGCUGUGGAUAAAAUCACUGCCAAGGGAACAUGAAGACAACCCAGUGAGACUGUACAGAAUUGACAGACCAGAACAGAGGGCCAUUUUGAAUCGGACCAACCCAAAGCCUGCUGCCAAGUAGACUCUGGAGGUUUCAGCUCUCACAGCUGUUACCAUUUUGUUAUGGAAUGGCAUAAUGGGGAGCAGUUGUUAUUACGUAAGGGACAUCUGGGGUACACAGCAAGGGACAUCAUGUUGUUUGUUCCUAUGCCAAGGGAAUGGUUUAGUGUCUAUUGUAUGUUCAACUUCAACCUUAAAAUACCAUGUCUAUGAUCAAACACAUGAAGCCUACUUAUUAAAGUAGAGGUGGAAACACUUUGGCAUGGGAUCUCUAAACAUGAACCUACACUACAAUACAUUACAAAAAGUCUAUAAAAAAUGAUCUAAUAAUUUCUCAAGAACUUACACUUGACCAAAAAUGUUCUCCCCCUGUGUGAGUAAGGUGUCUAUUCAUCUUGGCAAGAGGUUAGCACUGUUGAAAAUUAACUCUGUCCGUGUUAGGACAGAGGGAGUGAACAGGAAUGUGCUGUGCACAUAAAAAAAAAAGAAAUACAGAUUUGAUUAGAUAUGUGAGAAAUACAAGAGUCCAAAAGGUCUCACUAGAAAUUUGUGGUCACUUGAAUUCUGCUAGUGGGGGCCAGAACCUUUGCUGCAUGUCUGCACUAUUUGGAAGAGUGGAGGAUUUCAGGGAAAAGCCAACUUUGUCUCUGCAUGUCAUAUGUCUGGCAGGGAGCUAAAUGAACCAAUCUGUUGAAGAUAGUCUAAAACAUCCCGGGGCUAUAUGCCAUAUCCCAUUCAGCAGAAACAUUCCUACAUACCAGAGGGUUAGGUUAGCCAGCCCUGUUGACAGGUCCAAUUCCGAGUGUCCUCCAGGGCAGAUAGCAGAGAGACUCUGCUCAGGCUCACAGACUUAAACCCAAAUUACACUAGCCACUUCCUGUUGUUUCACUUCAAUAGACUUUUACAAGGUAUGUGAGAGUGAAAUUCCUAGGUUUCACUGACGCUUUGCAUAUGGCUCAAGGGGAACACCAACAGUGGAAGACAUACAGCAGCCACAUGUCCCUAAUACAUUACAAAUGAUCUUAAAGUAUUUGUAUUUUACUUUACCAGGCAGGUCAAUUAAGAUCAGAACAAAUUCUUAUUUACAAUGGUGGCCUGAACAUCUUUUUCUUUUAUUCAUUUGAAAUGUUUUAUACAAAUGUUGGCAAAACUAUCCUGAUCUCAAUCUCAGUCUACACAUGUCAUAAUAGUUAUUAAUUAGCUUUAUGUCUUCAUCAGUAUUUGAAGAGCUGAGUUAUGCAACUGUUGGAUUCUGGGGACGUUUAGUUGGGGGGCUUAUAAAGUACUAAAUGUUGACUCUGGAUCAAGGAUAUGGAAAUCGAACACGCCUGUAGGGAGUCCGGGAUUUUCAUGGAUGGUGAUUUCCCUGUCAUAGGAUGUUAUGGUUACACAACGUACACAAAAACUACGGGGUGCAUUGGGGGGACAGGUCUCGUGGGGUGAAUGGGGAUGAGUUCUGAGUCUAAGAACGCCUUGAGAAAUGUGUUCAUGUGAACAGUUUAUCCAGCUGUACAGCAUUGCUUGAUUCAACUCAUUUCAAUGCUCACAGUGCUGUGAGAAUGGUUGGCCUCAAUUGAAUGGUUUCAUUGAAGACACUAUUGUAUUCCGGUUUAUGCAGAAAAGGAUGGUUUCCACGACAAAAAUUAGUCCAGGAUUAGAAUGUCUUUAAUCUGUCUGGGAAACUGUCCCUAGAGGCCUAAAGUCAUGUUCAAAAAUGUUGUGUAUAGGUGGCUAUUGGGUCACUAACUGGCAGGUUUACAUGCAUUCAGCGGGAUUGUAGUCAUCUUGGGACACUGGGUUUUUAGAGUGAGCAUCCUCUUACAAAGAGUAUUACCUUUGUCCGACUGAAAAUAACAAUUUCAUCCUGACAUUUCUGUAUCAUUUCUUGUUGAGUUUGGUCAUUUAAAAUAAAUGCGUUGUCCAUUGCUGUUUAUAGAAACAGGGAAGUAAAUCAUUGUGAAA